UACGUAGGGUGCAAGCGUUGUCCGGAAUUAUUGGGCGUAAAGAGCUUGUAGGCGGUUUGUCGCGUCUGCUGUGAAAUUUCGGGGCUCAACCCCGAACUUGCAGUGGGUACGGGCAGACUAGAGUGUGGUAGGGGAGACUGGAAUUCCUGGUGUAGCGGUGAAAUGCGCAGAUAUCAGGAGGAACACCGAUGGCGAAGGCGGCAUCCUGGACCGGCAUUGACGCUGAGGCGCGAAAGCCAGGGGAGCAAACGGG
rnacentral:rRNA from 1 species